rnacentral:lncRNA from 1 species
CUUCUUUGGUUCCGGUCAUCGCAAGGUACAGACCUCCCCUGCCCAGCCCGGGCUGGCUGGGGGAGGGGAGCCAUGCGGCCUGCACAGGUAGGCCAGGGGGUGAAGGAUCGGAACCGAGCUGGGCCAGCUCCUGCGGAUGGAAGGGUGGAGAACAUCUGGGAUGUUUUUGUUCCCCCUCCCCUAAGCUAGAGGGAAAAGAGAUAGAGAGCCAGCAGACACCCGGGAGUUUGCCGGCAGAGGAGAAGGAGAAGGAGAAGGUGGGGGGGAGAUGCCCAGCGUGGGAGACAGGAGAAGGAGUCCUGGGCUGAGAUUUCAGCCGUCCGGGGAGUCCGGGAAUUUUAACCCUUUCCUGUGAAAUGAAGGCUUUAUGAAAUAUUACUCCUCCUGAAUUUGAAGAAAAGAGAGACAGCCUGAAACCUCAGAUGUUCAGAGAAGAAGGUUGGGGGGCAGAUGAUAGAGUGGCUUUUGGCUGGACUCUGCUUGUUUACCAUAGACUGAACCACUCCUUCUUUCAAGAGGGACUGCAUUUUAGGGGGAUGCAUUGGUGAGCCAAGAGACCUUCUUCAGCAACUACCAGUUUUGGAGUGGACAGAGAGAGAGAGCUGAGGAGGGUGUGAGGAUGCCCUCCAUCUUCAGAGAGGAAGAGAAGGCGAUCUCUGUCUUUUGGACCCUCGGCCCCAGGGGAAAAUGGGGGGGACUCUAGUCCCGAAUUGUGAUACUGGACUGUUGUUCCUGGUGGUCCUUGGCAAAGCAUCCUUAAAGGGGCCCUAUAAGCAGUCUCUGUCCAUGCACGGUGGUGAGAGCACUGUGACAUGGAGAGAAGAGGGUCACACUGGCCGGUGUGUCUGGGCAGUGCCAGGUGUGACAUUGGAAACACAAAAGGUGGCAGUUGUGUUUCCUGGGGGGUCUAUGGUGCAAGGGGAACUCCUCUCUUCCCCGAUGGACUCAGUAUUGAUUAUAUUGAAGGGUGAAAACUUGAUUAAGGAUCCAAAUGGGUCUCGCUGGGGUUUGGUGGAGUUGGGUGGAGGGAGGAGAAAUGUUUUGGAAGGUUUUCAUUUCGAAUUUUGUGUGGUUUUUUUUUCUUUCCUUUCUUUUCCUUUUAUAGUAGUAGUAGUAGUAGUGUAA